CAUUAAGCCAGGUAUGAUGUUGCUGGAAUUGAAAGAUCCCCGAAGGGAGACCCUUACUCAAGACUUAGGAAAUCACGGACCCCAGACACAGAGAGACCA
rnacentral:pre_miRNA from 14 species